UACGUAGGGGGCAAGCGUUGUCCGGAUUUAUUGGGCGUAAAGAGCGUGUAGGCGGCCAUGCAGGUCCGUUGUGAAACUCGAGGCUCAACCUCGAGACGCCGAUGGAAACCGCAUGGCUAGAGUCCGGAAGAGGAGAGUGGAAUUCCGUGGUGUAGCGGUGAAAUGCGCAGAUAUCAGGAAGAACACCCGUGGCUAAGGCGGCUCUCUAGUACGGUACUGACGCUGAGACGCGAAAGCGUGGGGGAGCGAACAGG
rnacentral:rRNA from 1 species